rnacentral:rRNA from 1 species
AGCAGCCGCGGUAAUUCCAGCUCCAAUAGCGUAUAUUAAAGUUGUUGCAGUUAAAAAGCUCGUAGUUGAAUUUCGGGAUCAAUACGUCUGUCGUGCCUUCGGUACGUACGGGUGUAAUUGGUUUCUACCUUCUGAGGAUCCUUGAUGUCAUUAGUUUGGUGUCUUGGGGAAUCAGGACUGUUACCUUGAAAAAAUUAGAGUGUUUAAAGCAGGCAUACGCUUGAAUACAUUAGCAUGGAAUAAUGAAAUAGGACGUUCGAUUCUAUUUUGUUGGUUUCUAGGAUCGACGUAAUGAUUAAUAGGGAUAGUUGGGGGCAUUAGUAUUCAAUUGUCAGAGGUGAAAUUCUUGGAUUUAUUGAAGACUAACUACUGCGAAAGCAUUUGCCAAGGAUGUUUUCAUUAAUCAAGAACGAAAGUUAGGGGAUCGAAGACGAUCAGAUACCGUCGUAGUCUUAACCAUGAACUAUGCCGACUAGGGAUCGGAUGAUGUUAAUUUUUAAUGACUCAUUCGGCGCCUUAA